rnacentral:rRNA from 1 species
GACGAACGCUGGCGGCGUGCUUAACACAUGCAAGUCGAACGGAAAGGCCCUGCUUUUGUGGGGUGCUCGAGUGGCGAACGGGUGAGUAACACGUGAGUAACCUGCCCUUGACUUUGGGAUAACUUCAGGAAACUGGGGCUAAUACCGGAUAGGAGCUCCUGCUGCAUGGUGGGGGUUGGAAAGUUUCGGCGGUUGGGGAUGGACUCGCGGCUUAUCAGCUUGUUGGUGGGGUAGUGGCUUACCAAGGCUUUGACGGGUAGCCGGCCUGAGAGGGUGACCGGCCACAUUGGGACUGAGAUACGGCCCAGACGCCUACGGGAGGCAGCAGUGGGGAAUAUUGCACAAUGGGCGGAAGCCGGAUGCAGCAACGCCGCGUGCGGGAGGACGGCCUUCGGGUUGUAAACCGCUUUCGCCUGUGACGAAGCGUGAGUGACGGUAAUGGGUAAAGAAGCACCGGCUAACUACGU